rnacentral:rRNA from 1 species
GACGAACGCUGGCGGCGUGCUUAACACAUGCAACUCGAACGGAAAGGCCCUGCUUUUGUGGGGUGCUCGAGUGGCGAACGGGUGAGUAACACGUGAGUAACCUGCCCUUGACUUUGGGAUAACUUCAGGAAACUGGGGCUAAUACCGGAUAGGAGCUCCUGCUGCAUGGUGGGGGUUGGAAAGUUUCGGCGGUUGGGGAUGGACUCGCGGCUUAUCAGCUUGUUGGUGGGGUAGUGGCUUACCAAGGCUUUGACGGGUAGCCGGCCUGAGAGGGUGACCGGCCACAUUGGGACUGAGAUACGGCCCGGACUCCUACGGGAGGCAGCAGUGGGGAAUAUGGCACAAUGGGAGGAAGCCUGAUGCAGCAACGCCGCGUGCGGGAUGACGGCCUUCGGGUUGUAAACCGCUUUCGCCUGUGACGAAGCGUGAGUGACGGUAAUGGGUAAAGAAGCACCGGCUAACUACGUG